AUGAACGCUGGCGGCGUGCCUAAUCCAUGCAAGUCGAGCGAACAGAUGAGGAGCUUGCUCCUCUGACGUUAGCGGUGGACGGGUGAGUAACACGUGGAUAACCUACCUAUAAGACUGGGAUAACUUCGGGAAACCGGAGCUAAUACCGGAUAAUAUAUUGAACCGCAUGGUUCAAUAGUGAAAGACGGUUUUGCUGUCACUUAUAGAUGGAUCCGCGCCGCAUUAGCUAGUUGGUAAGGUAACGGCUUACCAAGGCAACGAUGCGUAGCCGACCUGAGAGGGUGAUCGGCCACACUGGAACUGAGACACGGUCCAGACUCCUACGGGAGGCAGCAGUAGGGAAUCUUCCGCAAUGGGCGAAAGCCUGACGGAGCAACGCCGCGUGAGUGAUGAAGGUCUUCGGAUCGUAAAACUCUGUUAUUAGGGAAGAACAAAUGUGUAAGUAACUAUGCACGUCUUGACGGUACCUAAUCAGAAAGCCACGGCUAACUACGUG
rnacentral:rRNA from 1 species